AUUGAACGCUGGCGGCAUGCCUUACACAUGCAAGUCGAACGGCAGCACGGGUGCUUGCACCUGGUGGCGAGUGGCGGACGGGUGAGUAAUACAUCGGAACGUACCUUAUCGUGGGGGAUAACGCAGCGAAAGCUGUGCUAAUACCGCAUACGCCCUGAGGGGGAAAGCGGGGGAUCGCAAGACCUCGCGCGAUUAGAGCGGCCGAUGCCUGAUUAGCUUGUUGGUGGGGUAAAAGCCCACCAAGGCGACGAUCAGUAGCUGGUCUGAGAGGACGAUCAGCCACACUGGGACUGAGACACGGCCCAGACUCUUACGGGAGGCAGCAGUGGGGAAUUUUGGACAAUGGGGGCAACCCUGAUCCAGCAAUGCCGCGUGAGUGAAGAAGGCCUUCGGGUUGUAAAGCUCUUUUGUCAGGGAAGAAACACCGGCUCUAACACAGUCCGGGAAUGACGGUACCUGAAGAAUAAGCACCGGCUAACUACGUGCCAGCCGCCGCGGUAA
rnacentral:rRNA from 1 species